rnacentral:rRNA from 1 species
CGGCGGACGGGUGAGUAACGCGUGGAUAACCUACCUAUAAGACUGGGAUAACUUCGGGAAACCGGAGCUAAUACCGGAUAAUAUUUUGAACCGCAUGGUUCAAAAGUGAAAGACGGUCUUGCUGUCACUUAUAGAUGGAUCCGCGCUGCAUUAGCUAGUUGGUAAGGUAACGGCUUACCAAGGCAACGAUGCAUAGCCGACCUGAGAGGGUGAUCGGCCACACUGGAACUGAGACACGGUCCAG